UACGUAGGGGGCAAGCGUUAUCCGGAUUUACUGGGUGUAAAGGGAGCGUAGACGGCGGUGCAAGUCUGGAGUGAAAGGCAGGGGCCCAACCCCUGGACUGCUCUGGAAACUGUAGUGCUGGAGUGCAGGAGAGGUAAGUGGUAUUCCUAGUGUAGCGGUGAAAUGCGUAGAUAUUAGGAGGAACACCGGUGGCGAAGGCGGCUUACUGGACUGUAACUGACGUUGAGGCUCGAAAGCGUGGGGAGCAAACAGG
rnacentral:rRNA from 1 species